rnacentral:rRNA from 1 species
AGAUGUUGAUCCUGGCUCAGAAUGAACGCUGGCGGCGUGCUUAACACAUGCAAGUCGAACGAGAAAUCUUUAGCUUGCUAGAGAAAGUAAAGUGGCGCACGGGUGAGUAACGCGUGGGUAAUCUGCCUCCGAAUCGGGGAUAACAUUGCGAAAGCGAUGCUAAUACCGGAUAAAAUCUGGUUGGCUUCGGUGAACCGGAUCAAAGGUGGUCUCUUUAUAAAAGCUACCGUUUGGAGAUGAGCUCGCGUACCAUUAGCUAGUUGGUGAGGUAAAGGCUCACCAAGGCGACGAUGGUUAGCUGGUCUGAGAGGAUGAUCAGCCACACCGGAACUGGAACACGGUCCGGACUCCUACGGGAGGCAGCAGUGAGGAAUUUUGCGCAAUGGGGGAAACCCUGACGCAGCAACGCCGCGUGAGUGAUGAAGGCUUUCGGGUCGUAAAGCUCUGUCAGGUGGGAAGAACCCACCAAGUGUUAAGACCACUUGGUGCUGACGGUACCACCGAAGGAAGCACCGGCUAACUCCGUGCCAGCAGCCGCGGUAAUACGGGGGGUGCGAGCGUUAUUCGGAAUCAUUGGGCGUAAAGGGCGCGCAGGCGGUUUUGUAAGUCAGAUGUGAAAUCCCGGGGCUUAACCCCGGAAGUGCAUAUGAAACUAUGAGACUUGAGUAUGGGAGAGGGAAGCGGAAUUCCUGGUGUAGCGGUGAAAUGCGUAGAUAUCAGGAGGAACACCGGUGGCGAAGGCGGCUUCCUGGACCAAUACUGACGCUGAGGCGCGAAGGCGUGGGGAGCGAACAGGAUUAGAUACCCUGGUAGUCCACGCAGUAAACGUUGAUCACUAGGUGUAGCGGGUAUUGACCCCUGCUGUGCCGGAGUUAACGCAUUAAGUGAUCCGNCUGGNGAGUACGAUCGC